UGCAACUCCCUCAGUCCCCCCACUUCACAGGUGGCAAACUCUCCAGGCAGUCGAGUGCAAAUCGUCUCAACCCACAGGACAAGAGUGAGACCCGCCCAACCUCUUCCCCAGUGGGGCCAGCUCCCAAACCAGCGGCCGGUCCAAGGAAGGCAGAGGCCCACAAAGACCUAGCAACGAUUUCACUGUAACGCACCUGAUUCCUGUUGUUCAAACUAUCCCUGUUGCGUCUCUACUGACCUCUUAGGUUACCUGUCG
ensembl:lncRNA